rnacentral:rRNA from 1 species
AUACGUAGGUGACAAGCGUUAUACGGAUUUACUGGGCGUAAAGGGCGUGUAGGCGGUCUUGCAAGUCAGAAGUGAAAUUCCUGAGCUCAACUCGGGCGCUGCUUCUGAAACUGCAGGACUUGAGUGCUGGAGGGGAUAGCGGAAUUCCUAGUGGAGCGGUAAAAUGCGCAGAUAUUAGUAAGAACACCGGAGGCGAAGGCGUGUAUCUUGACAGUAAUGGCCGCUGAGGCUCGAAGGCGUGGGGAGCAAACAGGAUGAUAGUCCCGCGUAUUCCACUCCGUAACCGAUGAAUUCUAGGUGUAGGGGGUAUCGACUCCCUCUGUGCCGCAGUUAACACGAUAAGUAUUCCGCCUGGGGAGUUCGGCCGCAAGGUUGAAACUCAAAGGAAUUGACGGGG